rnacentral:rRNA from 1 species
UGUUGCCAGCGGUCCGGCCGGGAACUCAAAGGAGACUGCCAGUGAUAAACUGGAGGAAGGUGGGGAUGACGUCAAGUCAUCAUGGCCCUUACGACCAGGGCUACACACGUGCUACAAUGGCGCAUACAAAGAGAAGCGACCUCGCGAGAGCAAGCGGACCUCAUAAAGUGCGUCGUAGUCCGGAUUGGAGUCUGCAACUCGACUCCAUGAAGUCGGAAUCGCUAGUAAUCGUGGAUCAGAAUGCCACGGUGAAUACGUUCCCGGGCCUUGUACACACCGCCCGUCACACCAUGGGAGUGGGUUGCAAAAGAAGUAGGUAGCUUAACCUUCGGGAGGGCGCUUACCACUUUGUGAUUCAUGACUGGGGUGAAGUCGUAACAAGGUAACCGUAGGGGAACCUGCGGUUGGAUCAC